rnacentral:rRNA from 1 species
AUCGAAGCCCCAGUAAACGGCGGCCGUAACUAUAACGGUCCUAAGGUAGCGAAAUUCCUUGUCGGGUAAGUUCCGACCCGCACGAAAGGCGUAACGAUUUGGGCACUGUCUCAACGAGAGACUCGGUGAAAUCAUAGUACCUGUGAAGAUGCAGGUUACCCGCGACAGGACGGAAAGACCCCGUGGAGCUUUACUGUAGCCUGAUAUUGAAAUUCGGCACAGCUUGUACAGGAUAGGUAGGAGCCUUUGAAACGUGAGCGCUA